GUGCUCGCUUCCGCAGCACAUAUACUACAAUUGGAACGAUACAGAGAAGAUUAGCCAGGCUCCUCCGCAAGGAUGACAUGCAAAUCUGCCAAGUGUUCCAUAAUUUU
rnacentral:snRNA from 1 species